rnacentral:lncRNA from 1 species
CCGUGAGGGCACCGCGGGCGCUUCGGCCACACCGCGGCUCCCUCUGGGGCUCGGCCGCGCCCUCCCGCUCCCCCCGGGGCUGCACCCGAACGGCCGCGCCGCUGCGGCCCCCGGUGUGACCGGGAAUGGGGAGCGGAGCCCGGCGGGCAGCACGUGGGCGGCACCGGGGGGACCGGGCCGCGCUCGGUGAACCAGCUUGGUUUGCUCACCAAUUCCACCGAGGCAGCAGCUCCUGCUGAGCAAAAUUCAGGAAAAUGCUGAGGAGCCUGAAAGGACUCGUGUGCCAUUCUCUGAAGGUAAGCCCUAUAAGAGCCUGGUGCUAUUUCCAAUAUUUCUGAUUUCCAGUGGCCUGGAAUGGCAAUUUUCAGCAUAAAAAAUGAGUGAAUUCCCACUGUGGGCUGAGGGAAGAGCAGCUCCAGCAUUCCCACAUUUCCCUGAGGAGUCUGGGAUUA